rnacentral:rRNA from 1 species
AACGUAGGACGCAAGCGUUAUCCGGAAUUACUGGGCGUAAAGCGCGUGUAGGUGGUUUGAUAAGUCACUGUUGAAAGCUCCCGGCUAAACUGGGAGAGGUGCGGUGAGACUGUCAGGCUAGAGUAUGGGAGAGGGAUGCAGAAUUCCGGGUGUAGUGGUGAAAUGCGUAGAGAUCCGGAGGAAUACCAGAGGCGAAGGCGGCAUCCUGGCCUGUUACUGACACUGAGACGCGGAAGCAUGGGGAGCGAACGGG